UUGGUUAAGCUAAUAAGUGCGCACGGAGGAUGCCUAGGCGCCAGGAGCCGAUGAAGGACGCGACGAACAGCGAUAUGCUUCGGGGAGCUGUAAGUGAGCUUUGAUCCGGAGAUUUCCGAAUGGGGAAACCCAGCUAUCGUAAUGGAUAGUUACCCUCGAGUGAAUACAUAGCUCGUUGGAGGCACACCAGGGGAACUGAAACAUCUAAGUACCCUGAGGAACAGAAAACAAUAGUGAUUCCGUCAGUAGCGGCGAGCGAAAGCGGAGAAGCCCAAACCAAGGAGCUUGCUCCUUGGGGUUGUGGGACGUCUCACAUGGAGUAAAAAAAGAGAAGGUUAGGCGAAGAGGUCUGGAAAGGCCCGUCACAGAAGGUAACAACCCUGUAGCCGAAAGUCUUCUCUCUCCGAGACGGAUCCCGAGUACCGCGGGACACGAGAAACCCCGUGGGAAUCCGGCAGGACCAUCUGCCAAGGCUAAAUACUACCUGGCGACCGAUAGUGAAGCAGUACCGUGAGGGAAAGGUGAAAAGCACCGCGGGAGCGGAGUGAAAAAGAACCUGAAACCGUGCGCUUACAAGAAGUCAGAGCCCGAUCUAGGGGUGAUGGCGUGCCUUUUGUAGAAUGAACCGGCGAGUUACGUUCACGUGCAAGGUUAAGCUGAUGAGGCGGAGCCGAAGGGAAACCGAGUCUGAAUAGGGCGAAUAAGUACGUGGUCGUAGACCCGAAACCGUGUGAUCUACCCCUGUGCAGGGUGAAGGUGAGGUAACACUCACUGGAGGCCCGAACUCGUGAGCGUUGAAAAGCUCUGGGAUGACGUGGGGGUAGGGGAGAAAUUCCAAUCGAACUCGGAGAUAGCUGGUUCUCCCCGAAAUAGCUUUAGGGCUAGCCUCGAGGUGAAGCAUCAUGGAGGUAGAGCACUGAUUGGGUGCGGGGCCCGCCAAGGGUUACCAAGUCCAGUCAAACUCCGAAUGCCAUGUAUGUAUACUCGGGAGUCAGACGGCGAGUGCUAAGAUCCGUCGUCAAGAGGGAAAGAGCCCAGAUCAUCAGCUAAGGUCCCCAAGUGUGUGUUAAGUGGGAAAGGAUGUGGAGUUGCGAAGACAACCAGGAUGUUGGCUUAGAAGCAGCCACCAUUUAAAGAGUGCGUAAUAGCUCACUGGUCGAGUGACUCUGCGCCGAAAAUGUAACGGGGCUAAACACACCACCGAAGCUAUGGCAUGUACCUUAGGGUACUUGGGUAGGGGAGCGUUGAAUGCGGGUUGAAGUCAGACCGGAAGGACUGGUGGACUGCAUUCAAGUGAGAAUGCCGGUAUGAGUAACGAAAAGACAGGUGAGAAUCCUGUCCGCCGAAAGCCUAAGGGUUCCUGGGGUAGGUUCGUCCGCCCAGGGUAAGUCGGGACCUAAGGCGAGGCCGAAAGGCGUAGUCGAUGGACAACAGGUUGAAAUUCCUGUACCACCGUAAUCCGUUAUGAGCGAUGGGGGGACGCAGGAGGGGAACGACGCGAGCUGAUGGAUAUGCUCGUCCAAGCAGUGAGAGGUGUGUGUAGGCAAAUCCGCACACUAUAACCUCAAGCUGUGAUGGGGAGGGAAAAUCAUAGUACCGAAGGUCAUGUACCCACGCUGCCAAGAAAAGCCUCUAGCCAGGAGAAGGUGCCCGUACCGUAAACCGACACAGGUGGGCGAGAUGAGAAUUCUAAGGCGCGCGGAAGAACUCUCGUUAAGGAACUCGGCAAAAUGACCCCGUAACUUCGGGAGAAGGGGUGCCCCGGUAGUGUGAAUAGCACGAGGGGGCCGCAGUGAAGAGGCCCAAGCGACUGUUUAGCAAAAACACAGGUCUGUGCGAAGCCGCAAGGCGAAGUAUACGGGCUGACGCCUGCCCGGUGCUGGAAGGUUAAGAGGAGUGGUUAGGGGCAACCCGAAGCUAUGAAUUGAAGCCCCAGUAAACGGCGGCCGUAACUAUAACGGUCCUAAGGUAGCGAAAUUCCUUGUCAGGUAAAUUCUGACCCGCACGAAUGGCGUAACGACUUGGGCGCUGUCUCAACGAGAGAUCCGGUGAAAUUUUAGUACCUGUGAAGAUGCAGGUUACCCGCGACGUGACGGAAAGACCCCAUGGAGCUUUACUGUAGCUUGAUAUUGAACUUUGGUACGGUCUGUACAGGAUAGGUGGGAGCCUAUGAAGCAGGAGCGCAAGCUUCUGUGGAGGCGCCGUUGGGAUACCACCCUGAUCGUAUCGGAGUUCUAACUCACUACCCUUACCGGGUAGGAGGACCGUGUCAGGCGGACAGUUUGACUGGGGCGGUCGCCUCCUAAAAAGUAACGGAGGCGCUCUAAGGUUCCCUCAGCGCGGUUGGAAAUCGCGCGCAGAGUGCAAAGGCAUAAGGGAGCUUGACUGCGAGACCUACAAGUCGAGCAGGGACGAAAGUCGGACUUAGUGAUCCGGUGGUACCGAAUGGAAGGGCCAUCGCUCAACGGAUAAAAGCUACCCUGGGGAUAACAGGCUUAUCUCCCCCAAGAGUCCACAUCGACGGGGAGGUUUGGCACCUCGAUGUCGGCUCAUCGCAUCCUGGGGCUGAAGUAGGUCCCAAGGGUUGGGCUGUUCGCCCAUUAAAGCGGUACGCGAGCUGGGUUCAGAACGUCGUGAGACAGUUCGGUCCCUAUCUGUCGCGGGCGUAGGAAAUUUGAGAGGGGCUGUCCUUAGUACGAGAGGACCGGGAUGGACGCACCGCUGGUGUACCAGUUGUUCCGCCAGGAGCACCGCUGGGUAGCCAAGUGCGGAAGGGAUAAGCGCUGAAAGCAUCUAAGCGCGAAGCCUGCCUCAAGAUGAGAUUUCCCAAUUCGUAAGACCCCUGGAAGAACACCAGGUUGAUAGGCUCGGGGUGGAAGCGCGGCAACGUGUGGAGCUGACGAGUACUAAUCGGUCGAGGGCUUAUCCUAAA
rnacentral:rRNA from 1 species